GGGCGUAUGGCGGAAUUGGUAGACGCAACAGACUUAAAAUCUGUCGGGGGUAUCCUCAUCCGAGUUCGACUCUCGGUAUGCCCA
rnacentral:tRNA from 1 species